rnacentral:tRNA from 1 species
CCCCUCGUAGCUCAAUGGAUAGAGCACAAGUUUCCGAAACUUGUAAUACAGGUUCGAUUCCUGUCGAGGGGA